rnacentral:rRNA from 1 species
CCCUUACAUAGUGGGGGGAGUAACAGUCGGAAACGACUGCUAAUACCGCAUAGGACAUAGGAUCACAUGAUCCAGUGAGGAAAGGUGGCGCAAGCUAUCGCUAAGAGAUGGACCCGCGGUGCAUUAGCUAGUUGGUAGGGUAAAGGCCUACCAAGGCGAUGAUGCAUAGCCGACCUGAGAGGGUGAUCGGCCACAUUGGGACUGAGACACGGCCCAA